rnacentral:rRNA from 1 species
GAUGAACGCUGGCGGCGUGCCUAAUACAUGCAAGUCGAGCGAACAGACGAGGAGCUUGCUCCUCUGACGUUAGCGGCGGACGGGUGAGUAACACGUGGAUAGCCUACCUAUAAGACUGGGAUAACUUCGGGAAACCGGAGCUAAUACCGGAUAAUAUAUUGAACCGCAUGGUUCAAUAGUGAAAGACGGUUUUGCUGUCACUUAUAGAUGGAUCCGCGCCGCAUUAGCUAGUUGGUAAGGUAACGGCUUACCAAGGCAACGAUGCGUAGCCGACCUGAGAGGGUGAUCGGCCACACUGGAACUGGAACACGGUCCAGACUCCUACGGGAGGCAGCAGUAGGGAAUCUUCCGCAAUGGGCGAAAGCCUGACGGAGCAACGCCGCGUGAGUGAUGAAGGUCUUCGGAUCGUAAAACUCUGUUAUUAGGGAAGAACAAAUGUGUAAGUAACUAUGCACGUCUUGACGGUACCUAAUCAGAAAGCCACGGCUAACUACGUG